rnacentral:misc_RNA from 1 species
AACGCACGAGACCUGCGGACCUGCGGAAGGAUCAUUAUUGAAUACUCUUGACGAGUUGUAGCUGGCUCUUCGGGGCAUGUGCACGCUUGUCUUGACUUUAUUCAUCCACCUGUGCACCUUUUGUAGUCUUGUGGGUUGAGAGCGGUCGACUAUCAGAGACUUCGGUCUUCUGGAUGUGAGGAGUGCUGAGUGCGAAAGCAUUAAGCUCUUUUCUAAUGACUUGCAACCUCCCUCGAGUAC